rnacentral:rRNA from 1 species
AGCGACAGGCCUAACACAUGCAAGUCGAGGGGCAGCACAAGGAGCAAUCUGAGGUGGCGACCGGCGCACGGGUGAGUAACACGUAUGCAACCUGCCUGUAAGCGGGGAAUAACCCGUUGAAAGACGGACUAAUACCGCAUAAUACUAAAUUACUGCAUGGUAAUUUAUUUAAACAUUUAUGGCUUACAGAUGGGCAUGCGCAUGAUUAGCUAGUUGGAGAGGUAACGGCUCCCCAAGGCAACGAUCAUUAGGGGUUCUGAGAGGAAGGUCCCCCACACUGGUACUGAGACACGGACCAGACUCCUACGGGAGGCAGCAGUGAGGAAUAUUGGUCAAUGGACGAGAGUCUGAACCAGCCAAGUCGCGUGCAGGAAGAAUGUCCUAUGGAUUGUAAACUGCUUUUGCAGGGGAAUAAAGUGCAUCACGUGUGAUGUUUUGUAUGUACUCUGCGAAUAAGGAUCGGCUAACUCCGUGCCAGCAGCAGC